rnacentral:rRNA from 1 species
UACGUAGGGGGCAAGCGUUAUCCGGAUUUACUGGGUGUAAAGGGAGUGUAGGUGGUUAUGCAAGUCUGAUGUGAAAGCGCGGGGCUCAACCCCGCGACUGCAUUGGAAACUGCGUAACUGGAGUGCAGGAGAGGUAAGCGGAAUUCCUAGUGUAGCGGUGAAAUGCGUAGAUAUUAGGAAGAACACCGGUGGCGAAGGCGGCUUACUGGACUGUAACUGACACUGAGGCUCGAAAGCGUGGGGAG